GAUGAACGCUGGCGGCGUGCUUAACACAUGCAAGUCGAACGGAAAGGCCCAAGCUUGCUUGGGUACUCGAGUGGCGAACGGGUGAGUAACACGUGGGUGAUCUGCCCUGCACUUCGGGAUAAGCCUGGGAAACUGGGUCUAAUACCGGAUAGGACCACAUUUUGGAUGGUGUGGUGGAAAGUUUUUCGGUGUGGGAUGAGCUCGCGGCCUAUCAGCUUGUUGGUGGGGUAAUGGCCUACCAAGGCGUCGACGGGUAGCCGGCCUGAGAGGGUGUACGGCCACAUUGGGACUGAGAUACGGCCCAGACGCCUACGGGAGGCAGCAGUGGGGAAUAUUGCACAAUGGGCGCAAGCCGGAUGCAGCGACGCCGCGUGGGGGAUGACGGCCUUCGGGUUGUAAACUCCUUUCGCUAGGGACGAAGCGUUAUGUGACGGUACCUGGAGAAGAAGCACCGGCUAACUACGUG
rnacentral:rRNA from 1 species